rnacentral:lncRNA from 1 species
CAUCAUAUGGCUGCAUGGGUCUGUCCAACAAUUUUUGUGUUGGGUUUGGAUGUCCUCUGCUGGAGUAUGAAUGUCCUUUUCUUUGUAUGUUGGAGAGGACAGAUUACUGGGGAAGCUCACUCCUCUGUGAUGCUGACAUCACUCCUGUAUUCGUCUUGUUUUGUAGUGAAUAGUGUGUUUGGUUUCCUCUAGGAAGUCUAUCAGAACAUGGCUCAAAGUCAGUGACCCUAAAUCAAGGAUAAUAAAUGACUCUCUGAGACUAGCUAGUAAAUACUUUUGAAGUUGGUUGCAGUGAUAUUUACCUGCAUCGGUUGAUAGAAUUGCCGCUGACACAACGAAGGCACUUCCUAAAUGUGGUUGGUCUAACAUGCUUAAAAUCAUAAUAUCCCCAGUAAAUUCAGAGAAAGAAAGAAAAACGAAGGGAUAUUAGAAGUUAUUUUGUUUUGAUAUUAUAUUUCAGUAGAUUUAUCCUGUGUUUCCCCCUCCCUGCCAAAUCUCUCAGAUGAGUCAAACCUCAUGCCCUGUUCUUUUGCAUGACCUCCCAUAGAAAGAUGAAAGGAUUUCUAUAAUUUGUAAUUGUCUCUUCUUUCUUUGGAGUAUAAUAUCAUAUUCUAAAUCAGAUAGUAUAUUUUAUAAAUAAACCUUGUGUCAUAUUUUUAUUUAUUGGUUUCCUAUGGUCAAGUUUCUUAAUGAUAUACAGCAAAUGUUAUUACUUAUUUUUUCUCCUUGAGGAAUAUACAUUCUUUUAUAUAUCCCAUGUAAUAAUUUGUUACAAUGAAAACUAAUUUUGUAACUAAGGAAUCUUACAAAGAAGCCUGGAGAUUAGAUGCAUAAGCUGUCUGUGUAGAAUGAUGUACACAGUCCAGAAAGGCAAUAUUUCAAAGGUCAUAUCAAUGGCUUAAUUCAGUGAGCAUUUAUUGAUACUAAUUCCAGACUCUGUGCUAAAUGUCAUGAAUACAAGAAAGAACGGCAUGUUCCUUAGUCUUUACAAGCUUUCAGUCUGGUGAGAACAAGUAUAUGUAUAAAGAAAAAAAUAAAAUUCCUG